rnacentral:rRNA from 1 species
GUGUCAGCAGCCGCGGUAAUACGUAGGGGCCGAGCGUUGUCCGGAAUUACUGGGCGUAAAGCGCGCGCAGGCGGCGCUCCAAGCCCGACGUGAAAGCCCCCGGCUCAACCGGGGAGGGUCGUCGGGGACUGGGGCGCUUGAGGGCGGUAGGGGCCGGUGGAAUUCCCGGUGUAGUGGUGAAAUGCGUAGAGAUCGGGAGGAACACCAGUAGCGAAGGCGGCCGGCUGGGCCGACCCUGACGCUGAGGCGCGAAGGCGUGGGGAGCGAACGGGAUUAGAUACCCCCGUAGUCC